rnacentral:rRNA from 1 species
CUAAUACCGAAUGUGCCCUUCGGGGGAAAGAUUUAUCGCCAUUGGAGCGGCCCGCGUUGGAUUAGGUAGUUGGUGGGGUAAAGGCCCACCAAGCCUACGAUCCAUAGCUGGUCUGAGAGGAUGAUCAGCCACACUGGGACUGAGACACGGCCCAGACUCCUACGGGAGGCAGCAGUAGGGAAUCUUGCGCAAUGGGCGAAAGCCUGACGCAGCCAUGCCGCGUGAAUGAUGAAGGUCUUAGGAUUGUAAAAUUCUUUCACCGGGGAAGAUAAUGACGGUACCCGGAGAAGAAGCCCCGGCUAACUUCGUGCCAGCAGCCGCGGUAAUACGAAGGGGGCUAGCGUUGCUCGGAAUUACUGGGCGUAAAGGGCGCGUAGGCGGAUACUUAAGUUAGAGGUGAAAGCCCAGGGCUCAACCCUGGAACAGCCUUUAAUACUGGGUAUCUUGAGUUCGGGAGAGGUGAGUGGAACUCCGAGUGUAGAGGUGAAAUUCGUAGAUAUUCGGAAGAACACCAGUGGCGAAGGCGACU